GUGGGGAAUCUUGCGCAAUGGGCGAAAGCCUGACGCAGCAACGCCGCGUGCGGGAUGAAGGCCUUCGGGUUGUAAACCGCUUUCAGUGGGGACGAACCAAGACGGUACCCACAGAAGAAGCCCCGGCCAACUACGUGCCAGCAGCCGCGGUAACACGUAGGGGGCAAGCGUUGUCCGGAUUCAUUGGGCGUAAAGAGCUCGUAGGCGGUUCGAUAAGUCGGGUGUGAAACCUCCAGGCUCAACCUGGAGACGCCACCCGAUACUGUCGUGACUAGAGUCCAGUAGGGGAGCGUGGAAUUCCUGGUGUAGCGGUGAAAUGCGCAGAUAUCAGGAGGAACACCAGUGGCGAAGGCGGCGCUCUGGGCUGGAACUGACGCUGAGGAGCGAAAGCGUGGGGAGCGAACAGGAUUAGAUACCCCAGUAGUCC
rnacentral:rRNA from 1 species